rnacentral:rRNA from 1 species
UACGGAGGGUGCAAGCGUUAAUCGGAAUUACUGGGCGUAAAGCGUGCGCAGGCUGUUCUGUAAGUCAGAUGUGAAAUCCCCGGGCUUAACCUGGGAAUGGCAUUUGGGACUGCAAGGCUUGAGUGCGGCAGAGGAGACUGGAAUUCCUGGUGUAGCAGUGAAAUGCGUAGAUAUCAGGAGGAAUACCGAUGGCGAAGGCAGGUCUCUGGGCUGACACUGACGCUCAUGCACGAAAGCGUGGGGAGCAAACAGG